GGAGGAACCAGGAAUGCAAUGACAACUAUUGAACAGCCCAGGUGGCUCAGGAUGAGGAGAUUGCUAGAUAUAUGCAGAACCAGGAACUGAAAGCCCAGUGGAGAUCCCAUGAGACAAACCUGGAGACAGAGAACAGUGAUGAGGGAAGCAACUUAUCUGAGCCAAGGAGAAGCAAGGACAAGAAGCUGCCCAGUCACACACUGUCCCAGUUGAUGGCCAUCGGACCUGCCUUUAUUCACCGACCAAACGUCAGCCUGAAAAGCUAGGAUACCAAAAAUCCAGGGACAAGAAGGAAGGUUGUAAGCAGCAGUGAAUCCUAGAGCCUUCACCUACAGCCUACUUCUUCUAGAACAACAAAACAUAUUUCUUCCCCAUAAUUAAGAGGAGAAAAUAAUGGCUUGAAAAUAUUUUCCAGAAAAUAUUGAAGAAACUAAACUUGAAAAGAUGUGAACAAUAGCUUCACAUUUCUCUUGAAGACUGUCAUGUAAGUUGAGGAACUGCAAACUUCUCUGACAUGCUGCAAGGGAAUGGAGCUUUUCAGCUGUGUCUACUGUAUAUAUGAUGAUAAAUGGGGGUUGUUCACAAGCACGAUUAUUUCACAAGAACAUGUGCUUCUUUGGAAUCUAGAGUGGGAACAGGCCAUUCAUUGUGAACAUAGUAAAGGCAGGUAUUACUGGAAUAUGUUCUAGGAAGUCCAUGAGCCGAUGGCUAACCCUUUAAUAUUUUAUAAAGACACUUCACAGAUCACUAUUGAUUAUUCAAAUACUGUAAAAGUUUUGAGAUAUGUUAAAUAGAUUUGCUACAGACA